UUCCAUGAAGAAACUCCAUUUAAACACACACAUGUAUACAUUUCUCACUGCUUUGUGGAAAGCCCAAGAAUGAUAGAUAUAUCUUGGUUUUACUGUAUGCAGCUGCGUAGCCCUGGAAUGUUGGCUUCCAAUCAACCCAGAGUCCAAGAGAAACGCAGCUGCAAUCACCGAAUGUUGCAUAAUUUCUACCAAAAAUCAUAACUGGACCUCAGUCUAUUUAAAGCUCCUCUCUCAGGCUUGCUGAAGUUCUGCCCUGGAGCCCAGUGAAAAGUCUCAUUAAACUUCGCAACCUUUUGGUGGAAGAACCUUGUUUUGUCUGAGUUUGGGGUAUGUGAAGAGACCUGAAGCCAGGAAGGAGCAGCCCGGAGAGUUGAGCUGGGAAUGGGGAAACCGUCAUUAAAACGACUCUGCCAUCAUUGCAAAGAAUGUACUGGGAAAAUAUCGACCCGCUGCAUUUCGUGGGGGAGGGGGAAGAAGAAACGAUCCGUCAGCUUGAGCUUGCUGCAGUCAGCAUGAAAAUCCCUCUCUAAAGAAGAUAACAGGAUAAGAAUCCGGAAAACAAAUCUGAACCUUCUUGUCUCUGAUGGGCUGAUCCUGCAUGGUGCUGAGAGCUCUCCUUCCUCACUGACUUCAGUGGGAUCCCUCCACCCCAUGGAAAGAACGUCUCUCUCUCUCCGUGCAGACAAUAGACGGUAAUAUUUAUUUACACAGCGUGAAGGGGUUAUUUAUUAAGAUACGCCUGACAACUGGAUCCAAACUAAUUUCUCUUAAUAAAGGCACUUGUG